rnacentral:snoRNA from 1 species
UCAAAUGAUGAUAAACAUCUCAGACCUGUUCUGAAAUUCAAUGUGGACAACAUUUAUUGCCUAUAUAACUGAUU